rnacentral:SRP_RNA from 1 species
CAUCUGGAAAGAGCUAUAAUGCUGAUGGUACUGCUGAAUGCUGCCAGCGCGAUGAAAUGGGUUUCAUGCCAAGCGCAUUGGGCACGACCUAUACUGCUGAUACGAAAUUGUACGGUUGCAUCCGCAGAUCAUCUGCGC